ensembl:rRNA 5S_rRNA 5S ribosomal RNA
GUCUAUGGCCACACCACCCUGCAUGCGCCCGAUCUCAUCUAAUACCGGAAGCUAAGCAGGGUCGGGCCUGGUUAGUACUUGGAUGGGAGACAAAAGUAGCUCACACUAGAUG